rnacentral:tRNA from 1 species
GCCAUGAUAUACGACGAAUAAUAUUUUGUGAAUCAAGUUGAUACUCCAAGGUUAUGUUCUAAUCUAUGUUC